AUAUAUAGGAUAUAAAAGCAACACCCGCUGAAUUGAAACAUCUUAGUAAGCGGAGGAAAAGAAAGAGAAUUCGAUUCCCUGAGUAGCGGCGAGCGAAAUGGGAUCAGCCCAAACCGGUUCCGCUUGCGGAACCGGGGUUGUAGGACUCCAAUGUGGUACUUUGAUAGUUAGGUGAAUCAUUUGGAAAGAUGAUCCAUAGAAGGUGAUAGACCUGUAACCGAAAACUUGAUAAGACUUAGGAUGUUCCUGAGUAGCACGGGACACGUGAAACCCCGUGUGAAUCUGCGCAGAGCACUGCGUAAGGCUAAAUACUAGACAUCGACCGAUAGUGAACCAGUACCGUGAGGGAAAGGUGAAAAGGACCCCUGUUAGGGGAGUGAAAUAGUACCUGAAACCAAUUGCCUACAAGCGGUCGGAGCUUCUUUAUGAAGUGACGGCGUACCUUUUGCAUAAUGGGCCCGGGAGUCAUUGUUCGUGGCAAGCUUAAAUCCUUAAGGGAUGAAGGCGCAGCGAAAGCAAGUCCGAAUAGGGCGUUCAGUCGCGGGCUAUGGACCCGAAGCGGAGGUGAUCUACCCAUGGCCAGGUUGAAGCAACAGUAAGAUGUUGUGGAGGACCGAACCCACGUACCUUGAGAAGUGCGGGGAUGAGCUGUGGGUCGGAGUGAAAGGCUAAUCAAACCCCGCUAUAGCUGGUUCUUUCCGAAAUACCUUUAGGGAUAGCCUCAUGCGCUGACUGAUGGGGGUAGAGCACUGAAA
rnacentral:rRNA from 1 species